rnacentral:rRNA from 1 species
GACGAACGCUGGCGGCGUGCCUAAUACAUGCAAGUCGAGCGAAUUUAUGAGAGCUUGCUCUCGUAAAUUAGCGGCGGACGGGUGAGUAACACGUGGGCAACCUGCCUAUAAGACUGGGAUAACUUCGGGAAACCGGAGCUAAUACCGGAUAAUUCACAUCUACUCAUGUAGAUGUGCUGAAAGACGGUUUCGGCUGUCACUUAUAGAUGGGCCCGCGGCGCAUUAGCUAGUUGGUGAGGUAACGGCUCACCAAGGCAACGAUGCGUAGCCGACCUGAGAGGGUGAUCGGCCACACUGGGACUGAGACACGGCCCAGACUCCUACGGGAGGCAGCAGUAGGGAAUCUUCCGCAAUGGACGAAAGUCUGACGGAGCAACGCCGCGUGAGUGAUGAAGGUUUUCGGAUCGUAAAACUCUGUUGUUAGGGAAGAAUAAGUACUAGAGUAACUGCUAGUACCUUGACGGUACCUAACCAGAAAGCCACGGCUAACUACGUGCCAGCCGCCGCGGUAAGAC